CAGAACAACCACGGGAGUCCGGCGAGCCGGGCUGAGAGGGAGCGAAUCGCGCUUCGACCGUCGAACCUGAUCCGGAUAAUGCCGGCGCAGGGAGGAGUUCAGAUGAGUACUU
rfam:Microbacterium hydrocarbonoxydans strain SA35 RS84_contig000008, whole genome shotgun sequence.